ACUGGGUUGGCCGAGUGGAUUAAGGCGUUGGACUUAAGUUCCAAUGGACAAGUGUCCGCGUGGGUUUCGUGACCCCACACCCCAGUC
rnacentral:tRNA from 1 species